AUUGAACGCUGGCGGCAUGCUUUACACAUGCAAGUCGAACGGUAACAGGCCGCAAGGUGCUGACGAGUGGCGAACGGGUGAGUAAUGCAUCGGAACGUGCCCAGUCGUGGGGGAUAACGCAGCGAAAGCUGCGCUAAUACCGCAUACGAUCUAUGGAUGAAAGCGGGGGACCGUAAGGCCUCGCGCGAUUGGAGCGGCCGAUGUCAGAUUAGGUAGUUGGUGGGGUAAAGGCUCACCAAGCCAACGAUCUGUAGCUGGUCUGUGAGGACGACCCGCCACACGGGGGAUGAUACACGGCCCAGACUCCUACGGGAGGCAGCAGUGGGGAAUUUUGGACAAUGGGCGCAAGCCUGAUCCAGCAAUGCCGCGUGCAGGAAGAAGGCCUUCGGGUUGUAAGCUGCUUUUGUACGGAACGAAACGGUCCUGGUUAAUACCUGGGGCUAAUGACGGUACCGUAAGAAUAAGCACCGGCUAACUACGUGCCAGCAGCCGCCGUAACAC
rnacentral:rRNA from 1 species